UGCAAUCAUCUUUUACAAUCACAUGAAGUGUUGCUGUCUUGCUCCAUGAUCCCUGCUUUUCUUAUUUAUCGAAAGCCCUGAGAGUCUCCUCCUGCCUUCUUGAACCUCUCUAGGUUUAUAAAGUGUAACACGGAUGUCCCAGGUGUUCCAGACCAAAGCUCAGCAUACCCGCGUGACAUUUUGCUGCCAAUCACCCAUCCAUCCCUACUUAUCUUCAGAUGGCACUUAAAGAUAUUAUGACCCAGAACUGGAUAAACAGGAUUGAAAAUGGACAGGAUAUAAAGGAUGAUCUGACAGUUGGGGUGAAUUCAUUGUGGGCUCUGGGGAUGGCAGCCCUUCAAUCUGAGGUGAUGGAGCCGGCAGGGAACCAGGUUUUGGGGAAGGCAUGAUGAGAAUUGGCACUUCAAAAGGU